rnacentral:lncRNA from 1 species
UCACUAAUUGUACAACCCACUCUUUUCAUUAUGAUAUGAUGUUACAUGGACACAUACUUGUCAUUUGUCAUGCUUAUAGUCUUAUAGCUCAAAUGUUACGACCACCAAAGAUUCAUCUCAAAAGUAAUAAGAAGAUAUAUGUAUACAGUUGCUUCUGUUGGGUGGUAUCCCAGGGGUGAAAGAAUCACCUAGCAUGGGUCAAUCCCAGUAUUACAGGGGGUAUCCCAGGGGUGAAAGGAAAGCCUAGCAUGGGUCGAUCCUGAUAUAGAUUUACCACUGAUCAGCUGGUCAUCUGUAUUACAUGCUGUGCACAGAUUAUACAAGUAAUAAGAGUAAAGUAACAUAAUUUUUAUAAGAUACAUGACUCCACAAUAUUCAUAAAGGUGGUCUUUUACCCUACAGCAGUACAUGGUUUCAUUUGAGUUUUUAUCUCAUAUAUAGUACAUGUUGCCUUACAUAUUCAGUACAUUAUUUCGUACUGACGUCCCUCUUGGGGGACCUGCAUUCCAUGCUGCAGGUACAGAAGCUAAUAAACCUCCCUAGUAAGAGUACAGGAUAUCAACCGCAGUCACUGAGCUCCAGGUUGCUUCGGGCCUUUGAGUCUUAUCAUAUCUUUUUGCAUUGUAUAGUAUCUUAUCAUGAGGCGGGGCCUGUCCCGAUCCUUACCCUCAUAAGAUAAUGUUUCUUGUCUAGAGGCCUUGUAGACUACGUUAAGUAUAGUAUGGUCAUGUAUCGUAUCGUAGACAUUGUGGCUCCAACGGCCUAGUCAUAUAAUAUCUUUUGACUUGCUAGUCCUAUUUAUAUUUUGAGGGCAUGUUUAGUAUGAAAGGAACUUAUAAUGUUCAUAGGUAAUAUAUUGCUACAGGUUGGUUCUCCCGAGCCUUACCGGCAACGGGUGCCAGUCCGCCUUAAUAGGAUUUGGGGCGUGACAAAAAGGACUUACCACUAACUCUGUCAGCUGAAUAUCUAAACUGCUAAGUAUGAUCGGGAGCUCAUACAUCUGAACUUAUGAUAUAAAACAUAAUAGCAUAAAAUAAAGGUAUGCGUCAGUACUUUGAAUGUACUAGUAUGCAAAGUGAGGUAGGAUGAAAUGCAUGGGUUCAUAUGCAUGAACAAUACUGACUGAAUGAUGUAAGUAUAAUUGAAUGAAAGUACAUGCGUGAAUAUGUAAACUGUAACUGGGAUCUUGAUAACACUGGGAUACCAAAUUUGAAUACUGAUUAAUUGAUAUCUGAGCCUACUGAUACUAAAUUACUGAUAAUUGAGUGGCUGUAUCUGAUAGUCUUGAUUCUGUGGAACUAUACUGAGUUUCGUUUUGAGUUGAGUGACUGUAUCUGACAUUCCUGAUUUUUUUGUAAAACUGAACUUAGUUCUACACUGAAACUGGAAGUGAAACUGAGACUGUGGAAAGUAAUCAUCUAACCGAUAUACCCCUCUCUGAAAUUAUUGGGGUCCAACCUGUAACCUUAGUUGGAAGGGUGUCAGUACCAUGCUAUGGGUAAAGAUAAGUUGAGUCACCCACAUCUGGCAGGUGCUCUAAACGAGAAUGGUGGUACCCUCAACUGGCAGGUAGAUCACCUCAUCAACCCUUAACUGGAAGGUUGAUGUCUCAACCUACGCUGGCUACGUAGUUCUGGAACACAAGAACUGCUUCUAAGGAUCAUACCCUCUACUGGCAGGUGAGUCACCAUCCGUAGGUUCACUUGGUGCUGAAUCCAACUCCCAACUGAAUAGAAACUGGACUGGAUUCUAGACUGUUCUAGGCUGGAUUGAACUUUUCUGAUCGUAUUGUAUAACUAAACUGAACUGAGUUCACUGGGUUCUGUGGAAUGAUGGAAUAUUACUGAAUUCUGUUAACUGACUGAAUUCUAUCGAUCGUGACAUGAAUGAUACUAUCCUGUGAUUGACUAUAGAUCUAGGUAAACAACUAACUUAUCGGGUAUUAAAUACCCCCAGGACUCGAUAGCGUAAAUUAUACGACAUGGCACAAUCUUGAAAUAUGAUAGCUAAGUACUUGGUCAUCCUACAUUCAUUUGGAACAUUCUAGCAAACACUUGCAUUACAUGAACUUGAACAUAUGGUUACAUGAUAUAAUUUUACUAUUCAACUCACACAAACAAUUCAUCAAACACUUGAAGGACAUAACCUAUGCAUAUGACACUAAAACAACAUGUAAGAAUCAUAGUUCAAUUCCAUAUUUACAACUUCAAGGGUCAACAUGGUUUAACAUGAUAAUGCACACAUAUCAAUCAAUUCCACAUGAAUCUUGUAGUAAAUCAUGAACUAGAAACCCCAUUAACAUGGUAAUUAUGAACACAUUCAAAUUCAACCACGAAAUUCAUCAAACUCAUAAACUUGUAGUUAAAAAGGGUUCUUGAACUCCAUGGGUGGAAGAAAACCCUUGGAUGAACACUUUACAUACCUUGGUUGCUAAAUUCCUAAAGAACAAUGGUGGAGAUCUUGAGCCUUGGCCUUGAAAUUUAAUCACCUAGGGUUCUUGUUUUUGAGAAAUUUGAGAGAAAGUAAGUAUAUUUUGCUGAAUGAGGACUGAAUAGGGGUGGGAAAAUGACCCAAAUACCCCCCAAGGACGUGACUUUUAAUGACUGAAAACUGGAUUGUCGAUGCGCAGGACGAUGUGCCGCGUUGUUGGCAUCGACGCGAUAGCCAACACACCGUGUCGAGUCUGCGUCAGUUCAUUGGAAAUUGCCACUAGGAGCCAAGGAAAAAUAUUGAUCAACACGAUGGCCGACACUCCAUGCCGAGAUCCCGUUGAUUCACUAUUUUUGAUUCCCAAACGUGAUUCAAACGAGGUCCAAAAAAUCCAAAACUCGUCCGAAAACACCUACUGACAUUUCUAAUCAUGAAUCAAUCUAAAGAUCGAUACUUUAAGGUCACAAGAGUCGUGAAAUAGAGUUGUCAACUUACGAAGGCCAAAAUAAUACUAAGUGUGAAUACUUAGCUAGAAUUUUCUAAGUCUGGGAUCCCUUAGCAAGCUUAAAAGACUGAGUUGAGCUUAGAAUUUUUAUGGGGUCUUACAAUGUAGUUUUUAAAUUUUCUGUUCUUAGACUUGUCAUAUACAAUGCUAAAAUUGAAAAAACCUACUAUAUAUGGUCUUAGACUUGUCAUGUAGAAUGUUAAAAUUAAAAAAACCUACUAUAUAUACAAAAAGCCUCUCUUUUUGGGACAUAACCAAAAAGAGGUAAGACACUUAAAUUAAGAUGAAGGAGUAGCAAAGUUUUAUGAAUUUUUUUAUCUCUUUACUUUCUCUGAUUUAUAUUUCUUUUUAUUUUCAAUGUUUAUACUUAAUUUAUAAUGAAUAUCUUUCAUAUAAUGAUGAUUGUCUUAAUAAUUUUUUUAAAAAUCAAAUUUAAUACAACUAAAUUUGGACAUAACCAAAACCUUAUAUUAAAUUGGUAUUAUUUAAUUAAGGUAUCGAAAUGAAGAUUACUUGUUAUUUUAUAGAGAAAAAUAUUUUUUAAGGAGUAUGUCAAAAAUAAAAAUACUAUAAUUAUGAAUAAGAAAGCCAAUAAGAUUAGUCUUUAUAUUUUUUUUCAUUAAAUGUUUUUGUCAAAAUUUAGUAAUAAUGAAAAUUAUGAAUAAUUGAUUUUUAUGUGUCAUUAGGUUUUAAUAAUUAUGUUGUCACUACCCGAACCAGAGCCUAGUAUAUAUAUAAAGGAGAAACAUAGAGGAGGUGAUGUGACACCUCUCUAUGAUCUCAAUUGCUAUUUAUUUUUUUGUGGAUUUUUUGAUAAUUUUCUUAUUUUUUUUAUUUUUUAUUGCACAAAAAUGAAUAUUACAAUUACUACUCAUCCAUUUAUUCCUAUACUUCAAUGUAAGAGUUUAAAUGUCUUACAAUUUCUUUAAAACUCCAUUACUCUAUAAUUAAUUUUUAAGUUUUAUUCUUUUAUCUUGGCUUUUCAUUUUUCAAUAUGCUUUUAAAUGAAUAUGCAUGUAAUGUAACUUUCCCCUUAUAAAUAGAGCGCAUUUCAUGAUCUUUUGAUAUUAUUUGUCCUUUUCAUAAACGGCCAAAUCCGUAGAGCUGAUGUUAAAGAUGGUGGAAUACAAGAAAGGUAUUACAAAUUAUUUUAGAAUUUUGUAGUUUUAGUUUUCUGUGUAAAAGUUAAACAACAAAUACGUUUAUUCUCUUUUACUAUUUGUAAGUGUCAUGUAUGUUGAUGUUAAAGAUGGUUGAAUACAACAAAGGUAUUACAAAUUAUUUUAGAAUUUGUAGUCUUAGUUUUCUAUGUAAAGAUUAAAUAACAAAUAUUAUUCUCUUUUAUUAUUUGUAAGUGUGAUGUAUAUUAUGAAAUUGAUAAUGAUUUACUAUUCAUCACAAAGAAUACAUAUAUUGAUCGAAUAUUUGUAUGUAUGACUUCUACGUAAUAUUAAUUUUAGAAUUUAAUUGUUAUCUAUAUAAUUUAUGUUGUCUUGUGCAUUAUAUAAUAAUGGAUGAAGUUGUCUUAUAAAACAAAAAUAAGUUGAAAAAUAGAAAAAAAAAAUUCAAAAGAACAUAAGCUAUAAAUAAAAAUAAGAUUCUUAUGUCUUUAUGUUGGAUUAUGGGUCAUGGAUCACCCAUGUGAAUCGAUCCGACCCGACCCAGUUCUUUAGUUUUGAUUAUCUGAAAAACAGAUUUCAAAUAAAAGGGGGAAAUACAUAUUUUAAAUAAAAAGGGGGAACAGUUACAUAACUGUUACCACCCAAAUAUCCCUAUAUAUUUGAGUAUCUUCUACCAAGAAUGUAGCAGAGAGAUUGAAGCAAAGAAAGCCAGAAAACGAAAAUUAACAACAAUACCAAAAAAGAAUAACAUUUAGUUUGUGAUUCAAGGCUUCGUUUCUAAGAGAUUCAAAGCAGACUCGGGGGUAGAUCCUUUCGGAAGCAAAAUUGAUUUCCAUUGCAAAUUAAAGGUACACUAUUUUGCUCCAAAUUUGCUAACAAUAGUAUCAGAUCCAGGUUUAAUAGCCCCAGUUUCGAUCAAAUUGACUAAUUCACAUUCUUGAAUAAAAAAAUUAAAAUUGAAUAAGACUUUACCCUUUAGAAAGAAAUCAUGGAUAAAGAUCGGGAUUUUAGACCCGACUUGAAUCAUACGAACAAUAUUCUAUUCUGGAAUAAGAUGAGAAUUGCAUGACAAAAUCCGGUUGUAGAUUCAUUUGAUAUUUAAAAUCAGUAACCUUUGCUUUUGUGUUUUUUUUUCUUCUUCAUGAUUUUUUUUGUUUGGGAGAAAGACAAUUUUUUUUUGCUUAUAUAAUCUUGAAUGAAGAUGAUAA